rnacentral:rRNA from 1 species
CCUACGGGGAGGCAGCAGUAGGGAAUCUUCCACAAUGGACGCAAGUCUGAUGGAGCAACGCCGCGUGAGUGAAGAAGGGUUUCGGCUCGUAAAGCUCUGUUGUUAAAGAAGAACGUGGGUGAGAGUAACUGUUCACCCAGUGACGGUAUUUAACCAGAAAGCCACGGCUAACUACGUGCCAGCAGCCGCGGUAAUACGUAGGUGGCAAGCGUUAUCCGGAUUUAUUGGGCGUAAAGCGAGCGCAGGCGGUCUUUUAAGUCUAAUGUGAAAGCCUUCGGCUCAACCGAAGAAGUGCAUUGGAAACUGGGAGACUUGAGUGCAGAAGAGGACAGUGGAACUCCAUGUGUAGCGGUGAAAUGCGUAGAUAUAUGGAAGAACACCAGUGGCGAAGGCGGCUGUCUGGUCUGUAACUGACGCUGAGGCUCGAAAGCAUGGGUAGCGAACAGGAUUAGAUACCCUGGUAGUCCAUGCCGUAAACGAUGAUUACUAAGUGUUGGAGGGUUUCCGCCCUUCAGUGCUGCAGCUAACGCAUUAAGUAAUCCGCCUGGGGAGU